GUGCACCAGGCGAGAAUCCUCCGCAAUACACGAAAGUGUGACGGGGUUACCCAAAGUGUCCAAAUUUGGACUGUGGUAGGUGAGUAAUGUCCCCUACUAGAAAGGAGAGGGCAAGGCUGGUGCCAGCCGCCGCGGUAAAACCAGCUCUUCAAGUGGUCGGGAUAAUUAUUGGGCUUAAAGUGUCCGUAGCCGGUUUAGUAAGUUCCUGGUAAAAUCGGGUAGCUUAACUAUCUGUAUGCUAGGAAUACUGCUAUACUAGAGGGCGGGAGAGGUCUGAGGUACUACAGGGGUAGGAGUGAAAUCCUGUAAUCCUUGUAGGACCACCAGUGGCGAAGGCGUCAGACUGGAACGCGCCUGACGGUGAGGGACGAAAGCCAGGGGAGCG
rnacentral:rRNA from 1 species